AGCUUUCUGAGUCCAUGCUGAAAUUUCGUCAGACACCAACCCAUUAGGGCUGAUGAGACUUCCAAGAUAAGUGAAGUU
rfam:Schistosoma mansoni, Puerto Rico, WGS project CABG01000000 data, contig: 0115